ensembl:lncRNA
CGGUGACGCGGUCUGUAGUAGAGAGGUCCAUCCCCUCCCCGGCACGGUGACGCGGUCUGUAAUUGUGACUACUUUCUCCAUACUGACGUUUUGCUUGUUUGAUUGCCUUACGGAGGGAAUAACUACGCUGUUUGUAUUUGGCCGUGUUUCCAGUCGCCUUGCUAUGAUUAAAUGCGGUGGUUCGUGCUAUCAGUUGUCCGUGAAUGCUGCCAUCAAUCCACUGUUUCUGGUUAGGGAAGGUUUUAAGUCACAGUGGGUACAACAUCUCCUAUACACUUCCUUAUAAACUCACUCACCGAGUCAGCGUAGACGUCGAUGUUAUUGUCUGAGGCUACCCGGAACAUACCCCAGUCCACGUGAUCAAAACAAUCCGAUUUGGUCAGACCAGCGUUGGAUAGACCUUAGCACAGGCGCAUCCUGUUUCAGUUUCUGCCUAUAGGAGGAGAGCAACAAGAUGGAGUCAUGGUCAGAUUUUGAGGAGGGCGGGAGAAGGGCGUUGAAUGCACCGCAGAGGUUAGAGGAGCAGUGGUCGAGCGUGUUACUCGCUCAUGUACUGCGAUCGAUAUGCUGAUAGAAUUUAGGAAGCCUUGUUCUCAAAUUAGCUUUGUUAAAAUCCCCAGCUACAAUAAAUACAGCCUCAGGGAUAUAUGGUUUCCUGUUUGCAUCGAGUCCAGUGUAUAUACACGGCUGUAACUAUAACCGAGGAGAGUUCUCUUGGGAGAUGAUACGGUUGCCAUUUUAUUUUGAGGAAUUCUAGGUCAGGUGAACAAAAAGGACUUGAGUUCUUGUAUGUUGUUACAAUUACACCAUGAGUUGUUAAUCAUAAAACAUACACCCCCACCCCCUUUUUCUUACCGGAGAGAUGUUUGUUCAUGUCGGCGCGAUGCACUGAAAAUCCCGUUGGCUGUACACAGACUUCGACAGCAUGUCCCCAGCUAGCCACGUCUCCGUGAAAGAGAGUAUGUUACAAUCCAGGAUAUGUCUUUGGAAAGCAACUCUUGUCCUGAUUUCGUUGACUUUUUUAAAACUAGCGACUGGACAUUAGCGAGUAAUAUACUGGGAAGCGGUGGGUGGUGUGCGUGCCUCCAAAGCCUCACUAGAAGACCGCUCCGGCACCUUCUCUUUCGACGGCGUUGUUUUGGGUCGACCUCUGGAAUCAGUUAUAGUGUGAUUGUGAAAGAGGCCUCUAG